UCCUCGUUGGCUCAGUUGGUAGAGCGCCUCACUAGUAUCUGCCUGCUUAAUGACAAUACAUAAUGAGGAGGUCAGUCGUUCAAAUCGGCUACGAGGAA
rnacentral:tRNA from 1 species